GAAGUAAAAGUCGUAACAAGGUCUCCGUUGGUGAACCAGCGGAGGGAUCAUUACCGAGUUUACAACUCCCAAACCCCUGUGAACAUACCUAUACGUUGCCUCGGCGGAUCAGCCCGCGCCCCGUAAAACGGGACGGCCCGCCCGAGGACCCCUAAACUCUGUUUUUAGUGGAACUUCUGAGUAAAACAAACAAAUAAAUCAAAACUUUCAACAACGGAUCUCUUGGUUCUGGCAUCGAUGAAGAACGCAGCAAAAUGCGAUAAGUAAUGUGAAUUGCAGAAUUCAGUGAAUCAUCGAAUCUUUGAACGCACAUUGCGCCCGCCAGUAUUCUGGCGGGCAUGCCUGUUCGAGCGUCAUUUCAACCCUCAAGCUCAGCUUGGUGUUGGGACUCGCGGUAACCCGCGUUCCCCAAAUCGAUUGGCGGUCACGUCGAGCUUCCAUAGCGUAGUAAUCAUACACCUCGUUACUGGUAAUCGUCGCGGCCACGCCGUUAAACCCCAACUUCUGAAUGUUGACCUCGGAUCAGGUAGGAAUACCCGCUGAACUUAAGCAUAUCAAUAAGCGGAG
rnacentral:rRNA from 1 species